AUUGAACGCUGGCGGCAGGCCUAACACAUGCAAGUCGAGCGGAAGAACGGUGCUUGCUUCUGGUUUCAGCGGGGGACGGGUGAGUGAUGCCUAGGAAUCUGCCUGGCUGUGGGUGAUAACGUCCGGAAACGGGCGCUAAUACCGCAUACGUCCAGAGGGAGAAAGGGGGGGAUCUUCGGACCUCACGCUCUCAGAUGAGUCUAGGUCGGAGUAGCUAGUUGGUUGGUUAAAGGCCUACCAAGGCGACGAUCCGUAGCUGGUCUGAGAGGAUGAUCAGCCACACUGGAACUGAGACACGGUCCAGACUCCUACGGGAGGCAGCAGUGGGGAAUAUUGGACAAUGGGCGGAAGCCUGAUCCAGCCAUGCCGCGUGUGUGAAGAAGGUCUUCGGAUUGUAAAGCACUUUUGGUUGGGAGGAAGGGCAGUAGGUUAAUACCUUGCUGUUUUGACGGUACCAACAGAAUAAGCACCGGCUAACUUCGUG
rnacentral:rRNA from 1 species